rnacentral:rRNA from 1 species
AUACGGAGGGUGCGAGCGUUGUCCGGAUUUAUUGGGUUUAAAGGGUGCGUAGGCGGCCGUUUAAGUCUGGGGUGAAAGCCCGCUGCUCAACAGCGGAACUGCCCUGGAUACUGGAUGGCUUGAGUACAGACGAGGUUGGCGGAAUGGACUGAGUAGCGGUGAAAUGCAUAGAUACAGUCCAGAACCCCGAUUGCGAAGGCAGCUGACUAGGCUGUUACUGACGCUGAGGCACGAAAGCGUGGGGAGCGAACAGGAUUAGAUACCCUGGUAGUCCACGCCGUAAACGAUGGAUACUCGCUGCGAGCUAAAGAUUGUUCGUGGCUUAGGGAAACCGAUAAGUAUCCCACCUGGGGAGUACGCUCGCAAGAGUGAA